rnacentral:rRNA from 1 species
GACGAACGCUGGCGGCGUGCCUAAUACAUGCAAGUCGAGCGAGCGGAACCAACAGAUUUACUUCGGUAAUGACGUUGGGAAAGCGAGCGGCGGAUGGGUGAGUAACACGUGGGGAACCUGCCCCUAAGUCUGGGAUACCAUUUGGAAACAGGUGCUAAUACCGGAUAAUAAAGCAGAUCGCAUGAUCAGCUUUUGAAAGGCGGCGUAAGCUGUCGCUAAGGGAUGGCCCCGCGGUGCAUUAGCUAGUUGGUAAGGUAACGGCUUACCAAGGCGACGAUGCAUAGCCGAGUUGAGAGACUGAUCGGCCACAUUGGGACUGAGACACGGCCCAAACUCCUACGGGAGGCAGCAGUAGGGAAUCUUCCACAAUGGACGCAAGUCUGAUGGAGCAACGCCGCGUGAGUGAAGAAGGUUUUCGGAUCGUAAAGCUCUGUUGUUGGUGAAGAAGGAUAGAGGUAGUAACUGGCCUUUAUUUGACGGUAAUCAACCAGAAAGUCACGGCUAACCACGUGCCAGCAGCCGCGGUAAUACGUAGGUGGCAAGCGUUGUCCGGAUUUAUUGGGCGUAAAGCGAGCGCAGGCGGAAAAAUAAGUCUAAUGUGAAAGCCCUCGGCUUAACCGAGGA